CGCGCGCCUCUUGCUCCAAGCCGGGGCUCGCGGGCCCGCGGCUCUUGCAGCCCGGGUGGGCAGCGCGCGCCUAGGGGCCGCCCCGCCCCGCGCCCGGCGCUCCCUCGCCGACCGCCAGGCCCGAGAACGCCCGACCCCGCGGCCGACGCUACCGGGCCCAGCUUUCGCAAGGAAAGGGCAUCUCCGAACUUCGUCGGAGGCCACAGCAGCAGGCGUCUCGGCCUCGCAGCUAGGGAUCGGAAAGAUGAACGUACCAUGCGAGGAAACUUUGUUUUCUGGUUAUCCACUGGGCUUAUUUUGAUGUAAGAAUCACCGAAAAGCACUCAUGAAGCGUGGGAGGACACAGAACUAGCUACAGACAGGAGUCUCGUCCUUCCGGAGACAGACACCCAACUCAUUCAGCUGCACAGUGUCACAGAGAACAGAUGUUAACAUGAAGCCAAUGUACAGCCUCAACAGCUGCAUACCAGACAAUCGCCACAGCGGCUGAUCGUCGUUAAGACAUAGCGUGGCCGGAGGCAAAUGUUACCCUUUAUCUAAUAAGGGUGGUCUGGAAUUAUGGAAUUCCUGAUUAGAAGAGUCAGACUAGGACAGGCUAAGGAAAAUAUUCUUACAGGAAGCACUCUGAGGAGAAGGUUCCUCCUAACUAGAAUGUAAGCGCCAUGCAGGCAGGAAUUUUGACUGGCUCACUGCUGUAUCCUCUGGUACCUAAUACUGAGUAACACAUAGUAAGUGUUCGGGAAAAUAUUCAUUGAUGUAUGAAUAAAGAGAUUUGAAGUGGCCCUGGGACGACUGGGGUGGCAGGGCUUUGGUAAGUGUAAUAAAGCCGAAGCAAAUGGUAAUAUAAUAAAGCAGAUUGGGGGCCGGGCGCGGUGGCUCACGCCUGUAAUCCCGGCACUUUGGGAGGCCGAGGCAGGCGGAUCAUGAAGUCAGGAGAUCAAGACCAUCCUGGCUAACACGGUGAAACCCCGUCUCUACUAAAAAUACAAAAAAAAAAUUAGCCGGGUGUGGUGGCGGGCGCCUGCAGUCCCAGCUACUCGGGAGGCUGAGGCAGGAGAAUGGCGUGAACCCGAGAGGCGGAGCUUGCAGUGAGCCGAGAUCGCGCCACUGCACUCCAGUCUGGGUGACAGAGUGAGACUCUGUCUCAAAAAAAAAAAAAAAAAAAAAUUAAAAAUAAAGCAGAUUGAAUCUAAUAAUCUAUGUUAUAGGGUGGUUGGAGGAAAAUUUGAAAGCACUUUGGUAAGUCAACAAAGAAAUGAAGGCCAGCUGUGGUGGCUCACGCCUGUAAAUCCCAACACUUUGGGAGGUUGAGGCGGGAGGAUCACUUUAGCCCAGGAAUUUGAGACCAGCCUGGGUAACAAAGCUAGACCCUUCUCUACAAAAUAAUUUUUAAAAAUUAGCCAGGCGUGGUGGCACCGGCCUAUAGUCCCAACUACUCAGGAAACUGAGGCAAGAAGAUCCCUUAAGCCCAGGAGUUCAAGGUUGCAGUGAGCGAUGAUUACACCACUACACUUCAUCCUGGUUAACAGAGCAAGCAAGACCCUGUCCCCCCUCCAGAAAAAUAUGGAAAUGACAUAUUUUCAUUUUAUAACUCUUAGUGGAAGGAGAAUGGUUCAGAAAAAUCAUUGCUAAGAGAUUUUGAGUUCUUUAUUGUAAUUCCCUAAAGCUAGAGACUCAGAAAUAGCAUGAAAAUCAAGAGAAAUGAAUUGGCUUCUUUUUAAUGAUUCAUCAAGAAUAAAAAGACCAUCUUACUUGGGCAUAGUCUUUUAAAUCGAUUUUACUUCCAAAUCUUGAUGGCUUCCUUGCACAUAAUCAGAAUUACCUGGAGAGCAUUCCAAAAUUUCAGAUUCCUAAGUCCCUCCCCAGAUUUACUAGAGUCAGAAUCCCUAGACGUCUGUUUUUAAAGGCUCUCUAGGUGAUUCAAAAGCAAUGAGCAGAUUUGAUGACUUGCAUUUAUCAGCCAUUUGGUAUAAAACAUUGUCACCCAAAGAUUGUAUACAGAGAUUGAGACAAUGGUUCCUGUCCUUAAGAAGUUCACAGUUUAGGGCAGGAAGUAGAGGUUUAAGGUAACAUGAACAAUGCAAAAUGCCAAGCACUGCAAUAGACUUCCGUGUCAGCAGAGGACAGAAACCCUCCACUCAGCUUGGGAGGCAGGUAGCUGAUGAUGUUUUUAGGAGAGCCUUAAAAAGAACAUAUAGGAGGCCGGGCACAGUACCUCAUGCCUGUAAUCCCAGCACUUUGGGAGGCCGAGGUGAGUGAAUCACGAGGUCAGGAGUUCAAGACCAGCCUGGCCAAGACGGUGAAACCCCGUCUCUACUAAAAACACACCAAAAAGCCAGGCAUGGUGGUGGGUGCCUGUAAUCCUAGCUACUCGGGAGGCUGAGGCAGAGAAUUGCUUGAACCCAGGAGGCAGAGGUUGCAGUGAGCCAAGAUUGUGCCACUGCAUUCCAGCCUGGACGACAGAGAGAGACUCUGUCUCAAAAAAAAAAAAAAAAAAAAAAGAACAUGUAGGAGUUGUUACCAGGGGUUGAGGAUAAAGGUUAGGUAAUGAGGAGUUACUGUUUAAUGAGUACAGUAUUUCAGUUUGGGAUAUUGAAAAUUUUCUGGAGAUGGAUAGUGGUAAUAGUUACACAACAAUGUGAAUGUAAUUAAUGCCACUAAAUUGUAUUUGAUGGCUAAAAUGGUAAAUUUUAUGUUAUAUGUAUUUUACCAUAAAAUGGUUGAGGUGAGAACAUGUAGAAAAUAAAAUGGAUUGCAAGGGCAAA